AGAGGAUGAUCCGCCACACUGGUACUGAGACACGGACCAGACUCCUACGGGAGGCAGCAGUGAGGAAUAUUGCACAAUGGAGGAAACUCUGAUGCAGCAACGCCGCGUGGAGGAUGACGCAUUUCGGUGUGUAAACUCCUUUUACGAGUCAAGAAAAUGACGGUAGCUCGUGAAUAAGCACCGGCUAACUCCGUGCCAGCAGCCGCGGUAAUACGGAGGGUGCAAGCGUUAUUCGGAAUCACUGGGCGUAAAGGACGCGUAGGCGGGAUGCCAAGUCUGAUGUGAAAUCCUAUGGCUCAACCAUAGAACUGCAUUGGAAACUGGUAACCUAGAGUAUGGGAGGGGGAGAUGGAAUUAGUGGUGUAGGGGUAAAAUCCGUAGAUAUCACUAGGAAUACCGAAAGCGAAGGCGAUCUCCUGGAACAAUACUGACGCUAAGGCGUGAAAGCGUGGGGAGCAAACGGGAUUAGAUACCCCGGUAGUCCACGCCCUAAACGAUGAACACUAGUCGUCGGAAUGCUAGUCAUUUCGGUGAUGCACUUAACAGAUUAAGUGUUCCGCCUGGGGAGUACGGUCGCAAGAUUAAAACUCAAAGGAAUAGACGGGGACCCGCACAAGUGGUGGAGCAUGUGGUUUAAUUCGAAAAUACGCGAAGAACCUUACCUAGCCUUGACAUUGAUUGAACACUUUAGAGAUAGAGUGGUGCCCUUCGGGGAACAUGAAAACAGGUGCUGCACGGCUGUCGUCAGCUCGUGUCGUGAGAUGUUGGGUUAAGUCCCGCAACGAGCGCAACCCUCGUCCUUAGUUGCCAGCAGGUUAAGCUGGGCACUCUAAGGAGACUGCCUUCGCAAGGAGGAGGAAGGUGAGGACGACGUCAAGUCAUCAUGGCCCUUAUGGCUAGGGCUACACACGUGCUACAAUGGGGCGUACAGAGAGUUGCGAUACCGCGAGGUGGAGCCAAUCUCAUAAAGCGUCUCUCAGUUCGGAUAGCAGUCUGCAACUCGACUGCCUGAAGCUGGAAUCACUAGUAAUCGUAGAUCAGCAAUACUACGGUGAAUACGUUCCCGGGUCUUGUACUCACCGCCCGUCACACCAUGGGAGUUGAUUUCACCCGAAAUUGGGAAGCUAACCUUCGGGAGGCUACCACUUACGGUGGAAUUAGCGACUGGGGUGAAGUCGAAACAAGGUAACCGUAGGAGAACCUGC
rnacentral:rRNA from 1 species